GGAGUUACUCAUCAAGCCAUCAUCUUUCAUCAUCACACUGGAAAGCUGACUUUACCAGACUGGCUCCAAGACUCAGCUAGACCAAGACAAGUCAUACUGGGAGUGUCAAAAAUUGGCUGCUGAGAAAGGAAAAGUCUGGAUGUUCAAACAGAAGCUGAAAGGUCUAUUAUUUGUGACUUUGCCAUCUUGAGACCUUCACAUGAGGACUUCUACCGAGAACUGUAGGUGCUGUUCUACAUGAGCGAGCAGGAGAAGCGGAACUCUGAGCUCACAGGACUCCAGGCCCUAUCCCUUCAUCAACCAGAGCAACAACCUUUUCAUCUAGUUUACCUUGUGGACUACCAUGUAGCUGAAAGCAACAACAACAAAAAAUCUGUAUAGGGAAUGACAGAAGAUGAGAUGGUUGGAUGGCAUCACCGACUCGAUGGACAUGAGUUUGAGCAAGCUCUGGGAGUUGGUGAUGGACAGGGAAGCCUGGUAUGCUGCAGUCCAUCAGGGUCACAAAGAGUCAGACACAACUGAGUGACUGAGCUGAACUGACUGAACCUUCACUCCUUACAUCAAAAUAAAUUCAGAGAA
ensembl:lncRNA